rnacentral:rRNA from 1 species
GACAGAGGUGCCAAGCGUUAGGCGGAAUCACUGGGCUUAAAGCGCGUGUAGGCGGCCCGGCACGUCCGUCGCUGAAAUCCCCCGGCUCAACCGGGGAAGUGGCGUGGAUACGACCGGGCUGGAGGGGGGUAGGGGGAGCCGGAACUUCCGGUGGAGCGGUGAAAUGCGUUGAGAUCGGAAGGAACGCCCGUGGCGAAAGCGGGCUCCUGGACCCCACCUGACGCUGAGACGCGAAAGCCAGGGGAGCGAACGGG